rnacentral:pre_miRNA from 1 species
ACAGUACUCCCUCCGUUCGAAAUUACUUGUUGCAGAAAUGGAUGUAUCUAGACGUAUUUUAGUUCUAGAUACAUCCAUUUUCGAGACAAGUAAUUCCGAACGGAGGGAGUACUAG